UAAUACGUGGGGUGCAAGCGUUGUUCGGAAUUACUGGGCGUAAAGCGCGUGUAGGCUGCUUUUUAUGUCAGGUGUGAAAGCCCUCGGCCUAACCGAGGAAGUGCGCCUGAAACUGAAAAGCUUGAGUACGAGAGAGGGGGACGGAAUUCCCAGUGUAGAGGUGAAAUUCGUAGAUAUUGGGAGGAACACCGGCGGCGAAAGCGGUUCCCUGGAUCGAUACUGACGCUAAGACGCGAAAGCGUGGGGAUCAAACAGGAUUAGAUACCCUGGUAGUCCACGCCGUAAACGAUGGAUAUUAGUUGUUGCGGGCUUAACCCUCGCAGUGACGACGCUAACGCAUUAAAUAUCCCGCCUGGGGAGUACGGCCGCAAGGUUA
rnacentral:rRNA from 1 species